rnacentral:lncRNA from 1 species
GCCUCAAAUGAAAAUAACUGGUUAUUAUGUUCUAUCUAAAGACACCAACAGUAGAUAGCUAACAAACAGUCCCAAGCUUUACUUUCUUCUUUUUCUUUGUUCAACGAUCGCCAAGGGCUAUAAAGAUCUUUGUAAGUUGUGGAAAGCUGAUUAUGCCUGCUGUCUUUGGAUUGUAGGCUCCAUAGCUGCGUAGAGUAGCUACAUCACAUGAAUAGAUGAUCUGUAGUUUCACUUUGAUGGCAAUACAGUUGGCAAAC